GAAGCUUGUGAGCCAGAUCCUGUUGUUUCCGUAGUUUGCUUUCUUGAUUUUUAUAUUAAUUUGCUUUGGAUUUUUCUUUUUCAUAUUUCUUAUUCAAGUUUGAUAAUUGAAGGGGAAGAGCAUGAAUUGCUUCAGGGCACCAGACAUUCCUAAACAGUGCUUGCAUUACGAACUCCAUAUCCAGCUACAGACUGCCAUCAAGAA